rnacentral:rRNA from 1 species
GUAACAAGGUUUCCGUAGGUGAACCUGCGGAAGGAUCAUUAUCGAGUUUUGAAAGGGGCUGUAGCUGGCCUUCCGAGGCAUGUGCACGCCCCGCUCAUCCACUCUCUCUACACCUGUGCACGUUUUGCGGGCGGGAGGGCGCAAGCCCUUUUGCCCGUGUCUCACACACACAUACACCUGGUAACAGAAUGUAUAACACCGCGUUCAGUCGCGUUAUCAUAAUACAACUUUCAACAACGGAUCUCUUGGCUCUCGCAUCGAUGAAGAACGCAGCGAAAUGCGAUAAGUAAUGUGAAUUGCAGAAUUCAGUGAAUCAUCGAAUCUUUGAACGCACCUUGCGCUCCUUGGCAUUCCGAGGAGCAUGCCUGUUUGAGUGUCAUGAACAUCUCAACCCAGCGACGUUUGCGCGUCGUCUGAGGAUUGGACUUGGAGGCUUUGCCGGACUCAUCACGUCGGCUCCUCUCAAAUGCAUUAGCUUGGGCUUAGCUCAGUGGAAGCGAUCGGUGUGAUAAUUAUCUGCGCCGUGUCAUUCGCUACCCUGGAUCCCGCUUCUAAUGGUCCCCGUCGCUCGGGACAAACCUCAUAUAUGACAUCUGACCUCAAAUCA